UCCGGCUUACACCGGCGGUCUCCUGUGAGUUCCCGACUUUAAUCGCUGGUAACACAGGACGAGGGUUGCGCUCGUUGGCGGACUUAACCGUACACCUCACGGCACGAGCUGACGACAGCCAUGCAACAUCUGUCUUUGGGUCUCCUUGUGGGAGAGGGCCUACUUUCAUAGGCUUACCCUCGAUGUCAAACCUGGGUAAGGUUCUUCGGUUAGUAUCGAAUUAAUCCACAUGCUCCACCGCUUGUGCGGAUCCCCGUCAAUUCCUUUGAGUUUUAACCUUGCGGCCGUACUCCCCAGGCGGUCAACUUCACGCGUUAGCUUCGUUACCAAGGAAUUGCUUCCCCGACAACCAGUUGACAUAGUUUAAGGCGUGGACUAC
rnacentral:misc_RNA from 1 species